rnacentral:misc_RNA from 1 species
GACAUUCAGGGUGGGUCUCCCAAACGAUGCUCACUUGUUCCCGGGCGGCCCGUCAUGGCGACCCUGGGCCAGCUGGUCGCAAAUAGUCUGUGGUUUGCCUUCGACGCUCUUGAUCACCAGAAGACCGGUGUUGUACCUAAGAGUCAACUAAAGGUUUUAACACAGAAUGUGGGCGUCCUCUUGAAAGUGGACAGGCAUGUGGAAAAUUGUAUUGCUGAAUAUCUUAGUUCAAAACAAUUAAAUUUUGAGCAGUACCUCUACUUUCUUACACACGAGGUUCUAGCUGAAGUAGAUGAUGGAUCAACACCAUAUGGUGAGCUUAAGAAACAUCAUGACACGCUUGAACACACUUUCUGGCUUCUGGGCAGGGCCACACUUUUACAGCGACAUUUCCCAGUUUUCUCGGAGGAUGCUGUGUUCAAACUUUUCCGUAUAUUCUGUCUUCUGGCGGACCGAUCACCAGCGAGAAAAAGUCUUUUACAGGUGACACUAAAUAUUGUAGAGGUGAGAGAGGUUACAAGGCAUCUGAUCACAAAUCUAGGAAGAGAAUGGGACAUUCGUGAUUUUAAUCAAUUAGCAACAUCAAUUUCAUGCUUCACAUUUCCUGUAUUCCUUACAUUUUUAGAAGGUCGCUAUGCACAGGAUACUGAAUCCCCUGCACUAGAGAGAGGAGUCAGUGAAGUUUACAAGAAUUUUGUUGAGCAAGUUCUGAAACUUGGAAAGGUGUACCAGCGUGUUUGGUGGGCACCAUUAUGGGUGAAAAGAGAGAUAGAAUUACGACCUUGGGCAUUGGUUGCGCCUAGCCAUAAACUUAAAGUGCGAUCAGCAGCACUAGCUAAGGUGGUGGGUCGGGCACAGGUAUACCUCACUCCCUCGGCCACAGUUCAUAACAUCCCUGAUGAACCUGGUGCGAGGUUGUGUCGCUUCUCACUCUGCUUAGAAAGCAACAAACUUGUUCAGCUAGCAGCUACUGAUCACAGGAACAAGUCUGAAUGGUUACGAGCUCUAGAUGCUGCUAUUCAUCAUUCUAGAGAAACUCUUCCUUAUCAAGCAAUAAUGUCGGCUGCUAGAAAGAAUGAGCAUGCAGAAGAAGAAGCACGAGAAACUGCUGAACGUAUAAGACGUGACUCACAGGCAGACAUUAUUGAGAAUACACAAGCUGAACUUAUGGCUGAAAAAGUGGCUCGAGCACAGGCUGAAGCAGCAGCCCGACAGGAAGCUGCAGCUCGUCAAGAAGAAGAAAAAAGGGUUUUAGAACUUCAGACUAUGAGACUUCAGCUUGAAACUUUACUUGAGGAAGAGACCCAAGCAAAACGUGAUGAAGAAAUUGUUAGAAACCUUCAAGCAAGAGUAUUAAGUGAGGAAUGGGAGCGGAGAGAAGAACUGGAACGUCUACAAGCAGAACAAAAAAAAAUGUUGGAAGAGGAGACAAAGAAACGACAAGCCUUUGAGCUUCAGCAAGAAGAGAAAGAUAGUCAACUUAGAGAGGCAGAGAAACGUUUACGAAAGCUAGAAAGUGAGAGACUGAGACUUGAUCAUGAAUUACGUAGCGCCCGAGAGAAGAUUAUCAUGUCUGAACGUGGGAAAGAAUUGCUGGAAGCUAGGAUGAAGAUUGACUUACGAACAGGGUCCAGGAAUGUAACCCGUUCGUAACUCGGGGACUGCCUGUACUGUACUCACACUGUAACCAUGCACAUCACUCAAACAGGUCAAGGAGAGAACACCACCUGUCCGCACUUACUCACUUCGGCCAAUACGAAAGGAGCGUGGAACAGCCCCAGCCAGAUCUUCAUCAUUUAAUGCUCAUGCUGCACGCCUGUUCAAGUUUCGCUCCAAAAAUGAGGAC